rnacentral:rRNA from 1 species
AUACGUAGGUGACAAGCGUUAUCCGGAUUUACUGGGCGUAAAGGGCGUGUAGGCGGUCUUGCAAGUCAGAAGUGAAAUUCCUGAGCUCAACUCGGGCGCUGCUUCUGAAACUGCAGGACUUGAGUGCUGGAGGGGAUAGCGGAAUUCCUAGUGGAGCGGUAAAAUGCGCAGAUAUUAGGAAGAACACCGGUGGCGAAGGCGGCGAUCUGUACAGAAACUGGCGCUGAGGCACGAAAGCGUGGGGAGCUAACAGGAUUAGAGACCCUGGUAGUCCACGCCAUAAACGAUGAAUACUAGGUGUAGGGGGUAUCGACCCCCUCUGUGCCGACGUUAACACAUUAAGUAAUCCACCUGGGGAGUACGGCCGCAAGGCUGAAACUCAAAUGAAUUGACGGGG